rnacentral:ncRNA from 2 species
AAAGAAUUUGUCAUAUUGUGUCGUAUAAUAUUGGGGAUAUGGCCCAAAAGUUUCUACCGAGCUACCGUAAAUAGCUUGACUACGAGGCAAGUUUUUAAUAGA